UAGAUGACUAUCUGGAGGUGGCC
rnacentral:piRNA from 1 species